ACACCGGCAGCUCUAGUGGUAGCUGUUUUUAUUGGGCCUAAAGCAUUCGUAGCCGGUUUGGUAAGUCACUGGUGAAAUCCUGUAGCUUCACUAUGGGACUUGCUGGUGAUACUGUUGAACUUGAGGUCGGGAGAGGUUAGCGGUACUCCCAGGGUAGAGGUGAGAUUCUGUAAUCCUGGGAGGACCACCUGUGGCGAAGGCGGCUAACUGGAACGAACCUGACGGUGAGGGACGAAAGCUAGGGGCGCGAACCGGAUUAGAUACCCGGGUAGUCCUAGCCGUAAACGAUGCGGACUUGGUGUUGGGAUGGCUUUGAGCCGCUCCGGUGCCGAAGGGAAGCUGUUAAGUCCGCCGCCUGGGAAGUACGGUCGCAAGACUGAAACUUAAAUGAAUUGGCGGGG
rnacentral:rRNA from 1 species